rnacentral:misc_RNA from 1 species
UACGUAGGUGGCAAGCGUUGUUCGGAAUCAUUGGGCAUAAAGGGUCCGUAGGCGGCCUGUUAAGUUGGAUGUGAAAGCCCUACGGCUCAACCGAGGAAUUGCGUCCAAAACUGGCAGGCUUGAGGGUCGGAGGGGAGAGCAGAAUUCCUGGUGGAGCGGUGAAAUGCGUAGAUAUCAGGAGGAAUGCCGGUGGCGAAGGCGGCUCUCUGGACGAUUUCUGACGCUGAGGGACGAAAGCCAGGGGAGCAAACGGG